GUUCAAUGCCCAUCAGUGUCAUGCAAAGACGUAGUUGCUGGUGCCUGGCCCAGGAUUCCCUGUGCUGGGUCCGAGUGCUUGCUCAUCAAGACAUCAUCGCAGAUAUACACACUUGCUUGAAUACUUCAUGCACACGUGCGUAAGUGCUGACACCCGAGGGUUCUGCACCCUCACGGCAAGAGCUCUCAUGGAGAAAUCUGUGUGAUUCACUUCAUGUGUGAAUGUUUCCAGUACCUUGUUGACUCUGUUCUGGGAAAGCAGGGGAUUCCCAAAGGAAGUAAGGCUGGGGUACCAAGAGCUGCAAACAACCCAGGAGUUCCCAGCAUGGCUUAUCUCCGGAAAGCCACAGGGGGAGACUCCUGUGAUAAACACUGAAUGAUCCAGCCACACAAUAGGCUACAGUUCAGCCUGGUAAAAGGAGGAAAUCCCAAUACUUGGCACAAUGUGGGUGGACAUUUGAAGACAUGAUGUGAAAUAAACCAGUUACAAAAAGACAAACACCACGGGAUUCCACUUACAGAAGAUCCCUGGAGUCUGCAGGGACAGAACAUAGCAGAGUGGCAGCCAGGGUCUGGGGAGGAGGACACAUACGGUCAUUGAUUAAUGGAAGCAGAAGUUACUUUUGGCAAGAGUCCUUGGGCAGACUGCUGCUGGUGGCUGCACAGAAACAUGAAUGUGUUUGCUGCCCUGCACACACUUACAGGUGGUCAGGAUGGAACAGUGUGUAUUCUAGCAUCAUUUAAAAAGAGA
rnacentral:lncRNA from 1 species